rnacentral:rRNA from 1 species
UAACAAGGAUUUUCUUAGUAGCGGCGAGCGAAAAGAAAUUAGUUCAGCACUAAGUCACAUUGUUAUUAAUGGCAAUUGUGAGAUGCAGUGUAUGGAAUAUCUUAAUUCUAGUAUGAGAAAUUAAUGAUUUAAGUCCUUCUUAAAUGAGGCCAUUUACCCAUAGAGGGUGCCAGGCCCGUAUAACAUUAAUGAUUACUAGAAGGUAUUUCCAAAGAGUCGUGUUGCUUGAUAGUGCAGCACUAAGUGGGUGGUAAACUCCAUCUAAAACUAAAUAUAACCAUGAGACCGAUAGUAAACAAGUACCGUGAGGGAAAGUUGAAAAGAACUCUGAAUAGAGAGUUAAAUAGUACGUGAAACUGCUUAGAGGUUAAGCCCGAUGAACCUGAAUAUCCAUUAUAAAGAAUUCAUCAUCAAUAUAUUAUAUAUAUAUAAAAUUAUAUAUUUAUAAUGGUGUGCAUUUUCUUUAUAUGAGGACAUUGUAAUCUAUUAAUAUAUAAUAAAAUAUUAUUUAUUAAAAGAUCUUAUGUAAAAGUUUAUUGUAAUUUAUUAUCUUUAUGAUAAUAAUAUUUAAUAAAUGCAUUUGAUUUAAUAAAGUAUUGAUAGAUUUAAUCAUAUGUAUGGUGCAAAAAUUUCAUUUUAUGAAAUUUUAUAAUAUUAUUAUAAAUAUAUUAUAAGCACUUAUACGAUUAACAAUGCGAAAGAUUCAGGAUACCUUCGGGACCCGUCUUGAAACACGGACCAAGGAGUCUAACAUAUGUGCAAGCUUUUGGGUAUUAUUUAAUAAACCCAUAAGCAUAAUUAACUUAACUAAUAUAUAUUUUUAUAAUGGGAUGAAUUUUUAAUCUAUGGAAUUUUUUUUUUAUAGAUUUAUUAAUACAAUCCCGGGGCGUUCUAUCAGUUAUGUAUAAUAAUAUUUUUAAUAUUAUAUAUUCCUCUAACUAGAGCGUACCUUGAGCAUAUAUGCUGUGACCCGAAAGAUGGUGAACUAUACUUGAUCAGGUUGAAGUCAGGGGAAACCCUGAUGGAAGACCGAAACAGUUCUGACGUGCAAAUCGAUUGUCAGAAUUGAGUAUAGGGGCGAAAGACCAAUCGAACCAUC